GUGUACGAGCGGUACAUGCCGAUUCCGAGCACCGGCCGCGCCAGCCUGACGAUUGCUCGCUACGUGUUAUCAGUC
rnacentral:sRNA from 1 species